rnacentral:rRNA from 1 species
UACAGAGGUCCCAAGCGUUGUUCGGAUUCACUGGGCGUAAAGGGUGCGUAGGCGGUCGGGGUAAGUCUGAUGUGAAAUCUCACAGCUUAACUGUGAAACUGCAUUGGAUACUAUCCGGCUAGAGGAAUGGAGGGGAGACUGGAAUACUUGGUGUAGCAGUGAAAUGCGUAGAUAUCAGGAGGAACACCGAUGGCGAAGGCAGGUCUCUGGGCUGACACUGACGCUCAUGCACGAAAGCGUGGGGAGCAAACAGG